rnacentral:lncRNA from 1 species
UAGAAUUUGUUUUACUGUUCUUAAGUCCUUAAAUAAGAAAAAUUGAUCCUCUGGGUAACGUGUUUCUCGUGAGGCUCCACAAUCCCUGCCCCAUUGCAGUUGCUUGCUGUGUGUGGACAUGGACUUUCUACCUAAUCUGCCAGUAGCCUCAGGCAGUCAGUUCAGCACCUGGGGCAGGGGCCUGAGGCAGGAGUACCACCGUUCUCGACCUGCCUGGGCAACUUAGUGAGACCCUGUCUCAAAAAGUGAAAAGAUAGGUGAUAGAACACUCCUCUCCAGGUUCAAUCCUCUGUAGCACCAGAAGGGAAUUUUGUGUUCCAGCAAUGGCGUAUCCAGAUGUGCAGCGGAAGGCCAUCUGGGAGGCUCAGGUAUGAGGUGUAAAGCAUAAGGAAAAGUCAUGACAAGCUCGCUACAGACAGGCUUCUAAGGGCCUUGAGUAAUGCCAACAGCGUGGUCUGGAAUUCCCUGUGGGGCAGUGGUUCUCAGCUGGUUCACUGGCAGUGACUGCAGGAGGUUUGUGGCAAGUAGAGCACAAGACAGCAUUCCAGAAUCUGUGCGGCUGCCAUAGAGAACCCACCGGUUAAGGUCUGGAGAGGUACUGGACAGGGCUGGAAAAGGAAAAGGAAAAGAUGGAGACAGGCCAGUUAAGUUUGGUGGUGUGGCUUCAUGUCCUGCAUUGGAUCCUCUAAACUGCAUCCUCUAGCUGGGAGCUGGAGUGGAAUGACCUUGGCCUGAUCAGUCCCAGGGUGGGGAGGGGAGGGCAGCUCCCUGGCUUGACAGGGAUUGGGUAUUAAGGAAUGUCAGUGUACUUUCAAAGGGUCUCCUUUGCCUCCCAAGUAGUUUUUCCAUAUUUGUGCUUCAUACUAGUUUAAAAGGAAGCUGUUCAUUCCAGUAGUGAAAUAAGAGACUAACUGGAGGUGACAGUCAUGUUAGUGGGAGAGACUGUAAGGAUGACAGGCUAACAAUGGGAAAAGAUUGUUGUCUAAGGCAUUUGUAUUAGUGAGUUGGAUGGCAAAAGAGGUGGUGACAUUCCAGAGUUCAGAGCAGCUGUGGUCCCUUUCCUGUUCUGAGGCCGUCUAGGGCAGGUGGAGGAAGCUUUGGAAUCUGCACUGGGGGCCAAGUAGUUGCACAACUUGAGAGUCAAUCCUCUGAAUUUUCCAACUUCAGAAACACUUAGCAUUUUCGGAGGGAUUUCUGUGUGCUGAAUACAGUGGGAGUGAUGGGGUAGCAGUUCCUGCGUUCAGAAGGUUGCUAGGAAACAGGGUGCGCCCUCCUCCAGGGACCACAGUUCCCUGCAGAAGCUCUGUUCAGGACAUCGCAGGCCUCAGGUGUGUGAUUCACAAGUUGUUUAUUAAGGCAGAUUUUGUUGUUGCUGUUUUUGUUUUGGCUUGGUUUUUACUGAUCAGUAUUAGCUUUUGUGGUCUCAUAUUUCCUUCGUAUUCUCCUUGAGGUUUCUUUUACCCUAGGCUUCAGUGUCAUACUCAAGUGUACACUCCCUUAGAAUUGUCCCCCUCAGAUCUGAAGUCUCAUGCCUGCAAGUUAGCUUGUAUCUUGAGUGUCAUUGAAAUUCCUCUUGUUGUCUAUUUUCUGCUCAUUAGCUAAGGAGCCUGCCUUCUUGGUCUGAGAACCUGAAAUUCACUGCAAUUAAAAUGCCCAGUGAUUUCUUGCUUUUUCUGAGAAAUCAUCCUUGCCCUUUGACCCAGUGACUCCAGACUUUAAACCCUAAGGACAGUAGACUGUUUUUAUCAACUGUGUGACUUGCAGAUAUUUUCUGCUGCAGUCUGGCUGGGCACAAAAUAACCGAGCCACCACAAAAGCCUUGUAGAUUCAAACAGCAACUCUUUAUUCCCGAACUCUCACCGGCACUCUGCACACACGUUCUCGGAAAAAUACACUCCAUUCACCGGGCUCUGCGUACCCAUUCUCUCAGAACCCGCGAGAACUCAAGGAGUGGGCACCUGAGGCAGCAGGAUACGCCCUAUUCCCAGCAGGAUCCACCCUAAACCUGGAGCCACCCUAAUCCCUGAGCAGGGUCACCUUAACCAAAAAUGCCAUGUCAUUCCUACUUGGCUAUGGCUCUCAGCAAUUUUCUCCUAUUCUGUGGGUUCUUUUCACUUUCUUAGUGGUAUCCUUCGAAGCACAGAAGUUUUUUUUUUUUCUUUUUUUUUUCCCCCAGAGUGGGACAUCGCACCCAGGACCUUGUAUGUGCUAGGCAAGUACUCUACCACUGAGUUGCACUCCCAUCCGCGAAGUUUCUAACUUUGAUGAAGUCCAGUUUGUCUUUUAUGUGUAACUUAUCUGAGACAGGGUUGCAGAGAUUUAUGCCAGUGUCCUUUCUAAGCGUUUCAUGGAUUUUGCUCUAAAAGUUACAUCUUUGACCCAUUUAUAUUACUUUUGGAAUAUGUAAUGAGGAGGGUCCAAUUUCAUUUUUUUGCGUAUAAAUAUCCAGUUGUACCAGCAACAUUUGUUGAAAAUACUAUUGUUUCCCCCAAUUGAAUUAUCCUGUCACCCUUACAAAAACUUAACUGCUAUAAGUGUAAUAAGGAUUUAUAUCUGGAAUUUUUGAAAAAAAUUUUUUCUGCUUGGCACAGUGUUGUAUACCUGUACCAGUAACUUGGAGGGCUGAGGCAGGAGGAUCACAAAUUGAAAGCCAGACUCAAUAACUUAGUAAGAUCCUAAGCAACUCAGUGAGACAACUCAUUGAGACCCUGUCUCCAAACAAAAUAUUAAAAAGGGCUAGGGAUGUGGCUCAGUGGUUAAGAACCCCUGGGUUCAAUCUUCUGGUACCAAAAAAUUAAAAAAUAAAAACAAAAUAAGUUUAAGAUUUAUUUUUCUUUAAGUUAUGUUUUCUGUGCUGGGGAUUGACCUAGGACCUCAUGCAUGCUAGGCAAGCACUGUAUUAUUGAGCUACAUCCCCUGCUCUGGUUUCUUAACCUUAUUCUAUUUUUCUAUAUGCCUAGUUUUAUGCCAGUAUGACACUGUCCUUGAGAACUGUAACUUUGUAGUCAGUAUACACCCUCGACUUUGUUCCUCCUUUUUAAGAUUGAUUUAUUCUGGUUCCUUAUAUUUCUGUAUGAACUUUAAUAUCAGCUUGUCAGUUUCUGUAAAAAUACUAUACAUAAUUUUGAAAGGGCUUGUGUUGACUCUCUAGUUCAGUUUGGAGGUGUGUAUAGUAAUAAUAGGGAACUUAAAUACCCUCAUUUUCAUUAAUGGAUCCAGAUAGAAAAUCAGAAGGGAAACAUUGGACUUGAACUAUACUUGGAGCUGACCAAUAUAUACAACCCCACCUCCAGCAACAACAGAAACACAUUCUUUUCAUGUGUAUUGGAACUUUCUCCAGGAUAGAUUAUAUAAGGCCACAAAACAAUCUUAACAAAUUAAAGAAGGUUGAAAUCAUAUCAAGUACCUUUUUAGACCACAUGGUAUGAAACUACAAGUCAGUAAUAAAAGAAAACUGGAAAAUUCACAAUUAUGUAGAUAUUAAACAACCUCCUCCUCCUGAACAACCAGUGGAUCAAAGAGGACAUUUUAGAAAAUCUCACAACAAAUGAAAAUUUAAAUACAACAUACCAAAACCUUGUGGGUUGUAGGGAAAGCAAUUCCAAGAGGGAAUUUGUAGUGGUAAGUGCCUACUGUCUUAGUCUGUUUGGUUUACUACAAUGAAACAUCAUAGACUGGUAUUUCUCAUAGUUCUGAGGCAGGGAAGUCCAAAGUGUGGAAGCCAGCAAGUUUGGUGUCUGGUGACUCCAAAACCCACUUUCGGAUUCAUGGAUGACAGCUUUGUUCUGUGUCCUCACAUGGUGGGAGUGGUGGGACAGCUCUCUGGGGUCACUUUCAUAAAGAUACUAGUCCUGGGGACCUCAUCACUUCCCAAAGGUCUCCCAACAGCAUCCCAUUGCUGACUAGGUUUCAACACAUGAAUUUGGGGCUUGGGGAUGAUAUUCAGACAAUAACACCUGCCUAACAAAAAGAUCUCAAACAACUCAAGUGCCUAGGAGAAGCACCAUGAAAGCCCAAAGUUGGUAGAAGGAAGGAAAUAGAAAAACCUAAUAAAGCUGUGAAAUAAGCUGGGAAAAAUACAAAAGAUUAAGAGUUGAUUUAAAAAAAAAAAGUUUUAAAAAAUUGACAAAUCUUUAGCAAGACCUAAGAAAAUCAGAAGUGAGAGAAGACAUAAUACUACAGAAAUACAAAGGAUCAAUGAAGGAUUACUCUGAACAAUCACCUGCCAACAAAUUGGAUUACCUGGAAGAAACAAAUUCCUAGAAACAUACUCUGUCAGGGCCAAGUCAUAACAAAAUGGAAUACCCAAACAAUUCAACUCAUGUGGGAGACUGACUCUGGAACCAGCAGCUGUCUAGGAAAAGUCCGGAGGGCUCUAUUGGUGAAUUUAGCCAAACAUUCAAAGAAUCAACACUGAUCCUUCUAAAACUCUUACAAAAAAAUGAAGAUGAGGGAAUAUUUUCAAAGGCCAACAUUACUCACUUACCAAAACCAAGAAUGCUACAAGGAAAAAACAAACCAAAACACGUUCUAAACUAA